CAAACCUCCCAAGAACCCCAGGAGGCUGGCAUGCAUGCAGCUGUGAUCAUGUAGCUGGAGCAGCCACCUUGGACCCAGAGAUGAAAGUCUUGUAUUGAGGAUGGCAGAGCUGCCUAACCAGGCAUGUACUGCCUAGGUCUGAGAUGUUUUGUGAGGGAGGUAACAUAUGAUCAGGAACCGAUGGUACUGAAG